UACGUAGGGGGCUAGCGUUGUCCGGAAUCAUUGGGCGUAAAGAGCGUGUAGGCGGCUUGGUAAGUCCGCUGUGAAAGUCCAGGGCUCAACCCUGGAAUGCCAGUGGAUACUGUCAAGCCUAGAGUCCGGAAGAGGCGAGUGGAAUUCCUGGUGUAGCGGUGAAAUGCGCAGAUAUCAGGAGGAACACCAAUGGCGAAGGCAGCUCGCUGGGACGGUACUGACGCCUGGAGACGCGAAAGCGUGGGAGCAAACAGG
rnacentral:rRNA from 1 species